AGUGCAACACAGCCUCUUCACUUGUCUCUGAGAAAGCCUCCUGAAGGUGAGAUCACUGUAACCAUGCUGAAGGUAGCACUUGUUCUUGGAUGCCUCCUGAGCCUUAUCAUGGCUAAACCUAUGGAGCACCAGCGUUUUGCCCGCUCUAGUUCUGGUUCUGGUUCUAACUCUGACGAGACAACCACCAGGACUACGACCACAGUAGCAGGUGCAACAACUGCACCAGCACUGACCCAACUUAUUGCCCUUCUUCUACAACUACUAAGGCAGCAAUGAUCAAACUGAAAUCAUGUCCAUUUAACAAGAAGACUGAAACAAGACUGCUUCCACAUUCACCAUUUGAUUUAGAUCAGUUCUCACUAAUAUCUGUAGAGACCUCUAAAUAAAGCUCAUAAUUAAAAUGAA